GACGAACGCUGGCGGCGUGCCUAAUACAUGCAAGUCGAACGCAGUGGGGACGGGAGAGUAACACGUGGGUAACCUCCCAUCAGAGGGGAUAACACUUGGAAACAGGUGCUAAACCGAUACUGAUGGAUGGACCCGCGGUUCAUUAGCUAGCUGGUGAGGUAACGGCGCACCAAGGCCACGAAGCAUAGCCGGCCUGAGAGGGGGAUCGGCCACACUGGGACUGAGACACGGCCCAGACUCCUACGGGAGGAAGCAGUGGGGAAUCUUCGACAAUGGACGAAAGUCUGAUCGAGCAACGCCGCGUGAGUGAAGAAGGUUUUAGGAUCGUAAAACUCUGUUGUUAGAGAAGCGGUAUCUAACCAGAAAGCCACGGCUAACUACGUGCCAGCAGCCGCGGUAAUAC
rnacentral:rRNA from 1 species